AAAUUCCAUUCUAAAAUCUUCUACAGCAAAAAUUAAUAUUCCACAAGUUUCUUGAACUAAGUUCUUGCCUGCAUUAUUUCAAGAGUCACAAAAUGCCUUGUUAUAAUUGAUAUGUGAUAGAGAGAGAGAGAGAGAGAGAGAGAGAGAGAGAGAGAGAGAGAGAGAGAGAGA